AGAACGAACGCUGGCGGCACGCCUAACACAUGCAAGUCGAGCGCCCAGCAAUGGGAGCGGCGGACGGGUGAGGAACACGUGGGAAUAUGCCUUUCGGUUCGGCACAACUGCGGGAAACUGCAGCUAAUUCCGGAUACGCCCUUACGGGGAAAGAUUUAUCGCCGAAAGAUUAGCCCGCGUCUGAUUAGCUAGUUGGUGAGGUAAUGGCUCACCAAGGCUUCGAUCAGUAGCUGGUUUGAGAGAACGACCAGCCACACUGGGACUGAGACACGGCCCAGACUCCUACGGGAGGCAGCAGUGGGGAAUCUUGGACAAUGGAGGAAACUCUGAUCCAGCGAUGCCGCGUGAGUGAUGAAGGCCUUCGGGUUGUAAAACUCUUUUACCAGGGAAGAUAAUGGCUGUACCUGGAGAUAAGCUCCGGCUAACUUCGUGCCAGCAGCCGC
rnacentral:rRNA from 1 species